rnacentral:rRNA from 1 species
UACAGGGGGUGCAAACGUUGCUCGGAAUUAUUGGGCGUAAAGCGCACGUAGGCGGUUCGUUAUGUCAGAUGUGAAAGCCCUUGGCUCAACUGAGGAAGUGCAUCUGAAACUGGCGAGCUAGAGUAUGUAAGAGGGUCGCGGAAUUCCCGGUGUAGAGGUGAAAUUCGUAGAUAUCGGGAAGAACACCCGUGGCGAAGGCGGCGACCUGGGUAGAUACUGACGCUGAGGUGCGAAAGCGUGGGGAGCAAACAGGG